UUUUUUUUUUUUUAAAGAAAAUGGGAAAAAGAAGAAAAGAAUAAUAAAAUAAGAAAUCAGAAUAGGUCUCACCGGCACGGCCAUCAAAAGACGAUGAAGAUAAGAUAUAUGGGGGCACCGAGAUCGAUCAUGUAGAUCCUUGUAAAAUUUAAUCGAAGCCGUUCAUUUGAGACUGCCCCAGGAUAAUACACACUAACUUGAAGAUAAGCCAAAGACGUACCACGAUAGAUCAAAUGAUGAACUGUCGAGGUCAUUCAACAGGAUGUUUUCCAUCUAAUGAGCUUGGUCCCACCCUAUUCUUUCUCUUUCUCCUUCAGCGUGUGGGGAACUGUUUGAGGGGGGGUCUUUUAGAUGAUUAAAGCCCCAUGUGGACGUGGGGUUCUCACGUGCACGUACAUCACUGCUUUUAUUUAUUUAUUUAUUUAUUGUAUUUUUUCUAAAAGGUCCCUCUUGUUGCCACAAUUGAAUCCCUUCCUGAGAGACUA
rnacentral:misc_RNA from 1 species